rnacentral:tRNA from 1 species
UGGAAUAUAGCCAAGUGGAAAGGCACUCGUUUUUGAUACGACUAUUCAGGGGUUCAAGUCCCUUUAUUCCAA